rnacentral:rRNA from 1 species
CAACUCGACUACAUGAAGCUGGAAUCGCUAGUAAUCGCGGAUCAGAAUGCCGCGGUGAAUACGUUCCCGGGUCUUGUACACACCGCCCGUCACACCAUGGGAGUCGGAAAUGCCCGAAGUCUGUGACCCAACCUUAGGGAGGGAGCAGCCGAAGGCAGGUCGGAUGACUGGGGUGAAGUCGUAACAAGGUAUC